GUAUGAUACAUGAUAACCAUACAUAAUGACUACUGUAAAUUAUAAACAUCUAAAUGACAUGUAUGAUACAUGAUAACCAUACAUAAUGACUACUGGUUAUUGCUAAUGGAUUUCACAUAGUGGUAACCACAAUUGGUCACCAUAUAGAAGGGGGUGUUUGAACACUCUCAACAUGGAGCAGAUAGACAACAAGGGAGAGGAAGAAAUCAAAGAGCUCAUGGACACGGGGCCCCUCAGAGAGGUGGGCAUGGACCCCAACAAAGAGGUGGGCAUGGGCCCCGACAAAGAGGUGGGCAUGGACCCCGACAAAGAGGUGGGCAUGGGCCCCGACAAAGAGGUGGGCAUGGACCCUAACAAAGAGGUGGGCAUGGACCCUAACAAAGAGGUGGGCAUGGACCCUAACAAAGAGGUGGGCAUGGACCCCGACAAAGAGGUGGGCAUGGACCCCGACAAAGAGGUGGGCAUGGACCCUGACAAAGAGGUGGGCAUGGGCCCUAACAGAGAGGUGGGCAUGGACCACGACAAAGAGGUGGGCAUGGACCCUGACAAAGAGGUGGGCAUGGACCCUGACAAAGAGGUGGGCAUGGACCCUGACAAAGAGGUGGGCAUGGGCCCCGACAAAGAGGUGGGCAUGGGCCCCGUUAGAGGUUUACAUCAGAGAGAGGGAGGCAGACGGCAGGGAACUGUUGUGUCUAAUGAAGUCCGGGCCAUCAUCGGUGACCAUGUGGUUAACAGAGGCCUUACCAUGGCAGAGGAUGAUUAGUUAGGUUAGUUCAACACAAUCUGAAAAGAUCAACUGUCAAUUCGCCAAGAAAACCAGUAAGUCUGCAGGAUAUGGACUAUGCUUUACCAUUACAUCUACAGUAAAUUACAUUUUGUAAUGCAUGUCAAUUCACAAAACAUGUUACACUAUUCUUACAGUAUGAUCUAUUGACAGUAUACUGUGUUCUACCCUCAGAAGACCCCAUGGUGGUGGCCGUGUGCUGACCGAUCAGCAGGAGUGGGGAGUGGUGGAAAUGGUGAGGGCCAGGAAUGACAUACGUCUGUCUGAAAUAAAGCAGGCCAUUGAGGAGAACAAUGACACCUUUGCCAAUGUGGCAUCCAUCAGCCUGCCAACAAUCGCCCAACUUUUGAAGAGGCAUCCAGGUAUCUAUGAAACACAUUUACCUGGUGCCUUUUGAGUGAAACAACGACUGGGUGAAACAAUUGCAGGCUGAGUAUGUUCAGUUACAGCACUACUGUAUAUACUGUAUUACUAUUACUAUUAAUGCACAUGCUACUUCACAAUAUCAUAUUGGAACUAUACUGCAAAAAUAACUAACCAAAAUAUAUUUUUAGAGGGUGAUGGUGCUUGAUGUUGCUGUGAACCAUCACAAGUAUAUCUUCGUUGAUGAAACAGGCUUCAAUCAGGCCAAAACUCGGCACCAUGGGUAGAACCUCACCGGCCAACGGGCGACCGUCCAAGCGCCUGGACAACGGGGGGAAACAUCUUCAUGUGCACAGUUAUCUCUGAAUAGUAUGGUAUGGUAGGAUAUAGGCCUACCAUCAUGGUGUGGUAGGAGGUAGACCUACCAUCAUGGUGUGGUAGGAGGUAGACCUACCAUCAUGGUGUGGUAGAAGGUAGACCUACCAUCAUGGUGUGGUAGGAGGUAGACCUACCAUCAUGGUGUGGUAGGAGGUAGGCCUACCAUCAUGGUGUGGUAGGAGGUAGACCUACCAUCAUGGUGUGGUAGGACGAAGGCCUACCAUCAUGGUGUGGUAGGACAUAGACCUACCAUCUUGGUGUGGUAGGAGGUAGGCCUACCAUCAUGGUGUGGUAGGAGGUAGACCUACCAUCAUGGUGUGGUAGGAUGUAGGCCUACCAUCAUGGUGUGGUAGGAGGAAUUGCAGGCCGAAUAUGGAAACCAUGUGUUUGAUGUAUUUGAUACCAUUCCACUCAUUCUGUUCCAGCCAUUACCACGAGCCCAUCCUCCCCAAUGAAGGUGCCACCAACCUCCUGCGAUGCAGACAAAUGUCAAGCUUGGAUUCACCAUGCCAUGUUUUAUUUUCAUUCAUUUCAUUUCUCACAUUUGAUUAGACAGUAUGUUGCAAUUAUAUCUGAAAAUUCAUUGUUUUUAUUUGCAUGAAUGAUUGUAGAGGACGUUUUCAUGGAAUACAUGUUGGAUAGAUAUGAUAGAUUUUCUGUAAAUUUUUUGGGGUAAUGUAAGUGUAUUGCCUAAUGUGAAAACUGUAAUCUGCUAUUCACAGGACUGUGUUCCUUUCAGCACCUCUAAGGGGGAUUUGAAACGCGUAUCUUGCAUUGUUUGCUAUUGGAUUAACUGGGAGUUAAAAAUAAUCAAUUGUAAAGACAUCAUUAUGUUGUGUUCUGGUGAAUAAACCAAUGUCACAUUACAUUUCACAAUAAACUUUGAUUUUAAAUGAAUGGUUGUGUGGUGCGAUAUGUUUACAAUCCAAAUGAAUGCACAAUGAAAGGUUUUCAAUGAAAGACUGGCUGUGUCACAAGUGUUACCAGUUUGG
rnacentral:lncRNA from 1 species